UACGAAGGGGGCUAGCGUUGCUCGGAAUCACUGGGCGUAAAGGGUGCGUAGGCGGGCCUUUAAGUCAGGGGUGAAAUCCUGGAGCUCAACUCCAGAACUGCCUUUGAUACUGAAGAUCUUGAGUUCAGGAGAGGUGAGUGGAACUGCGAGUGUAGAGGUGAAAUUCGUAGAUAUUCGCAAGACCCCCAGUGGCGAAGGCGGCUCACUGGCCCGAUACUGACGCUGAGGCACGAAAGCGUGGGGAGCAAACAGG
rnacentral:rRNA from 1 species